rnacentral:tRNA from 1 species
GGCCUGAUGGUCUAGUAGUAUGAUUCCUUCUUAGGGUGGAGGAGGUCCCGGGUUCAAUUCCCGGUUAGGCCC